AAGGAGUUAGUUAAAAUAACGUUAGAGGGGCAAUCUAAAAUAACUAAUAAUUAGUACACCUUG
rnacentral:tRNA from 1 species